UCAUCAGCUAGCUCAUCAGGCCAAGUCCUCUGCUAGCUCAUCAGCUAGCUCAUCAGGCUAAGUCCUCUGCUAGCUUAUCAGCUAGCUCAGCAGCCAAGUCCUCUGCUAGCUGAUCAGCUAGCUCAUCAGGCUAAUCCUCUGCUAGCUCAUCAGCUAGCUCAUCAGGCCAAGUCCUCUGCUAGCUCAUCAGCUAGCUCAUCAGCCGAGUCCUCUGCUAGCUCAUCAGCUAGCUCAUCAGCCAAGUCCUCUGCUAGCUUAUCAGCUAGCUCAGCAGCCAAGUCCUCUGCUAGCUUAUCAGCUAGCUCAGCAGCCAAGUCCUCUGCUAGCUUAUCAGCUAGCUCAGCAGCCAAGUCCUCUGCUAGCUCAUCAGCUAGCUCAGCAGGCUAACUCAUCAGCUAGCUCAGCAGGCUAAGUCCUCUGCUAGCUCAUCAGCUAGCUCAGCAGGCUAAGUCCUCUGCUAGCUCAUCUGCUAGCUCAUCAGGCUAAGUC
ensembl:lncRNA